UUUUCUUGAUCCAUUUAUCCACUAAGGGGCAUCUGGGUUGGUUCUAUAUCUUAGCUAUGGUAAAUAAUGCUGCACAUGGUUGUGUUGGUGACAUUAGUGUGGGCUGGUUGGCGGUCAUUUGGGUAAAUGCCUGGGAGUGGGAUUUCUGGGUCAUAGGGAAGCUCUACCUUUAAUCUUUUGAGGAACCUCUACUGCUUUCCAGAGUUAUACUUUGAUAUUUUUAAUGAAAGCAUUAACUUAAAAGCCUAUUUAGCUUUUCCUGAGAACUUGCUCAUAGGAAACCCCCCGUUUUGUGUGUGUGUGUGUGUGUGUGUGUGUGUGUG